ensembl:lncRNA
AUGCUAAUGGGCAGCGGAGCCUAUAGGGACCCCGGUCGUCAGGCAGCGCUACACCCCAGAAUUCUAAUACAAUCGAAGAAUGCUGCUUUGGAGGCACUAGCCGCCUUGCCUCAGGUGGGGAAGGCCAACCCMCCUUACCUAUCAAUAAGACAGGCGGAGGAUCAACCAUUUCUGCAAUUUGUGGACAAACUCAAAGAGGCCGUUGAUGCGGCCCCGAACGUGCCUCCGGAUAUGAAGACGAUCAUGGUCAAGGAGAUUGCCACCCAGAAUGCUAAUUCGACAUGUAAAAAACUGCUCGCCACACUGGCACCGGGGGCCUUGCUACUUAAAAUGGUGGAAAUCUGCUCCCGAGCGCCCAUGGAAAUGGAAAAACAAAAGGCAAAAAUCCACGCUACUGCAUUGGCCGUUGCCCUGAAGCAAGCUCCCACGCAGGGAGGAGGUGACCGGGGGACCGGAAACUGCUAUACCUGCGGCCAGGCUGGCCAUUGGAAAAGAAAUUGCCCACAGAGAAGACCGACCGGCACCAGCCCAAAAGGCAACCCGAGAGAGAAUGUGUGGCUUACGAUUGCCAAUAGGACCGGCCAGACCUCGUUUUGCCUGUCCAUGGGUAAGGUGGGCGACCCCUUUAGAACAUGCCGAAUCGGUGUCCCUGCCUGGAAGCCAGAGGAAUUCGCGGCAUUCGUUGAUAGUAAGACGGUCCUGAAUUUCACGGCUGUCAAUCAGACCCUGGGGCCGGGACUGGAGCAGGCGCAGCGGGAUGGGGGGUGGCAGUGUCACAUUAUCCUGGCCCUGAAUGAGACCCUAGCGUCAGACCCUGAGGAGUUGGAUCUCUUCGGCUGUAUGACGGCCAACACCUCAGAAAACGGUACUGGCGGGUAUGUCAGCUUCCUCCCCCCAACAGACAAGCUCAAUCUGCCCUCGUCAGAAUGGGCGACUUUGAAAUCUGCCAUAACCGAAAACAGCGUCCACACACAGCUAUACACAAACUGCAAUGCGACAAACCACACCACACCAAAGGCGCUGCCGCCUGGGGUGUUCUUGAUUUGUGGGGAUAGAGCAUGGAACGGAGUACCGCGCAUCCUGAAAGGGGGUCCGUGCUAUCUGGGGCGGUUGAGCUUAUUCCACCCCAAUAUCACCCAGCUGCAGAACUGGGCUAGGAGAGGGCGGGCUAAAAGGAGCGUGCAUGAGCUAACAUGUAGCGGGGUUGGCGACCCCGUAUUUUGGUCAGACUUCCAGCAGCUGGUGACCGCCACGCUACUGCCAGGAGCCGCUGGGCUUAAGGCGAUGAAAUUGGCGGAGCAACUGGCCUGUUGGACCAAAAAUGAGUUAAAUAUCACAUCGCRAGUGUUAGAUGAUAUGUCCCAGGAUGUGCUGAGCGUAAACCACGCUGUGCUACAGAAUAGRGCCRCCAUAGACUUCUUACUCUUAGCUCACGGUCAUGGGUGUGAAGAGUUUGAAGGAAUGUGCUGUCUAAACCUCAYAGACCAUUCGCAAUCAAUCCAUGAGCGUAUAAGAAAUAUUCAGAAUGGGCUACAUGAACUAAAGCAGGAGAAUGGCCUUGGGAUUGACGGAUGGCUUCAGGGGCUGGGGAUCGGGCCCUGGCUGGCGGCGGGACUGAAACAGCUGAUUACCAUAGGUGUCGUAGGUAUGCUCCUAUUGAUUUGUGGGCCAUACAUAUUGCAGUGCAUUCUAGCUCGGGUGCAAAGAAUGGUUGAUCUAUUAUUUGAAAAAAGAGGGGGAGGUGUUGGGGCUCUUGCAAUGCUUCAGAAUAAUAAUCUGUAUGAAGAAUUAUAA